GGAGGGUCUCCACAUCCGGAUAAAUUGCAGAUUCUGACUCUUCAGGUGUUCGGUGGACCAGAGUCUCUGAAUCUGAUGAGUCUCAGGAAAGGGACAGAGAUCCAGUACCAGGAGUCUCAGGAGGCCCUUCAGUUCCUGGUAGUGAAGAGGAAAGUGUCCUGCAUGUCCUGGAAGGAGGACUGUGAAAAACACUUUGGAGGCGGCGCUCACCCAAGGGGAGCCAAGUUCAGUUCCAGCGGCAAGAUCGUGAAGCCCAAUGGCGAGAAGCCAGACGAGUUCGAGUCCGGCAUCUCCCAGGCUUUCCUGGAGCUGGAGAUGAACUCGGACCUCAAGGCCCAGCUGCGGGAGCUGAACAUCACCGCGGCCAAGGAAAUUGAAGUUGGUGGCGGUCGGAAAGCUAUUAUCAUCUUCGUCCCAGUUCCUCAACUCAAGUCUUUCCAAAAAAUCCAGGUGCAGCUGGUACGCGAGCUGGAGAAGAAGUUCAGUGGGAAGCAAGUGGUCUUCAUCGCUCAGAGGAGGAUUCUGCCGAAGCCAACUCGAAAAAGCCAAACAAAGAAAAAGCAGAAGCAUCCCAGGAGCCGCACCUUGACCCCUGUGCACGACGCCAUCCUUUUGGACCUGGUCUUCCUGCGCGAGUUCCUGGGCGUGGGCAAGAGGAUCCACGUGAAGCUGGAUGGCAGCCAGCUCAUCAAGAUGCAUCUGGACAAAGCGCAGCAGAACAACGUCGAGCACAAGGUUGAAACUUUUUCUGAUGUCUAUAAGAAGCUCACGGGCAAGGACGAUAAUUUUGAAUUCCUAGAGUUCAGCUGUAAAGAAAAAUGACUAAAUAAAG